UCAAUGGUGCAUUGUCUGGUGUAAUGAGGAAUAAAAGAGGGUUUUAUGCUUGAUGGUAAUGGCAUUACUUAAAACCUUCAGAGUCAAGUGAGUUAAUGAAUGAUGUUGAGAUGUCAGAGAAGCUUUUUCCUCUGACCUACAUACUGUAAGGUCGCAUGCAGCAGAGUCACUCUGUGGUAAAAAGCUACUCUACACUUCUCAGGCUCAGAGUGGGAUGUAACGGGUGUCGUCUGGAGAUAGAGAGGAGGACCAAGGUGCAGUGUGUUUCUUGACAGGUCUUACCAGCAUAUCUUCUCGUUCCUCAAGUUCUGUUUCCUAGCUUUUCCCGGUUCUGACCAUUCUGCCCACCCUAACCCUGAGCCUGCCUGUCGUCCCUGUACCUGCCUGACUCUGACCUGGUUACGAACCUCUGCCUGUCCUCGACCUGCCCCUCGCCUGCCCCAUGUUUAUAAUAAAUCAUCUGAGAACUGUA